AACAGGCUUAUAGAUGACUAUCCCAAACAAGUAUCUGUAUAACUUGUUUUUUAUUUGCAAGUAACACUCAUGUUAAUAUAACCCAGUAGGCUGGUGUUUUUUGGCAACAACAGUAUGCUGUUGGCUCACAUGCACCUUAGGGUCAACUGUACCCUCAGGUUUUUCUCUGCAGUACUACAGUCUAGCAGUCAUUCCCCAGUCCCUAUUUGGACAUGUAAUUAUUCCAUCCCAAGUGCAGGACUUUGCACUUGUCCUUAUUCAAUCUCAUCUGUAAACCAUUUUCCUAGUCUCUCCGGUUCAUUCUGGAUUCUAGUCCUACUCUCCAGAGUACCUGCAACUCCACCCAACUUGAUGUCAUCUGUAAAUUUGGUAAGCAUGCACUCAGUUCUAUUGUCCAAAUCAUUAAUGAAAAUAUUGAACAAUACUGGACCCAAGACAGACUCCUGGGGAACCCCACUUGAUAGCUCCUCUCAACUAGACAUUGAGCUAUUGAUGAAUACUUGUUGUGUACGUCUACACGACUCCCUACAGCAACAUAGUGACACACUACAUCACCAUACAGCGCACUAUGGCAACAUAGCCAUCACACGGGUUGACACAUGAUCACUAGCUAUGUCACCAUAGCAGCAUGCUCCCCGCUUAUAGCAUGCCACUAUAGUGUUAUAGCAGGGAAAUCUAAGCGUGUACUGCCCAUACAGGGCAGUAUAGGAAGUUACUGCACCAUGCUUUAGUACUUCCAAGAGGAAGUACUAAAGUACAGUGCCGUAGCAAUGUCACCAUAUGACAAUGUGUAGACGCGCCUGUUGAGUAAAAUGAUCCAAUGAUUUAUAUAUUCACGUUAUAGUACUUUUCAUCUGGUCUGUACCGCUUUAGAUUGUUAAUGGGAAUGUUAUUAGAGACUGUGUUAAAAGCCUUGCUAAAGUCAUGAUAUAACCCAUCCACUUCUCUCUCCACUUCUACGGAGCCUGUCACCUUAUCACAAAAGGAAAUCAGGUUGAUCAGGCAAGACUUGUUCUUGGUGAAUCCAUGCCGGCUGUUCCUGAUCACCUUGUUCUUCUCUAGUUGCUUCACAAUAGAUUCCUUGAAUACUUGCUCCCUGCUCUUUCAAGGUCUUGAGGUCAGGCUGACUGGUCAAUAGUUCUCUAAAUCUGCCUUCUUCACUUUCUUAAAGAUGGGUACUAUAUUUGCCCCUUUUCAGUCAUCCUAGACUUCACUCAACCUUCAUGAGUUCUCAGAGGAUAGCUAAUAGCUCUGAAAUUACCUCACCUUAAAGUGCAUCCCCUCCAGCCCUGCUUCUUUGAAAGCAUCUAACUUCUCUAAGUAAUCCCUAACCUUUUCUUCCACUACUCUAGACUUUGUCUCUUUCCCUGUCUUUGCUGGCAACUGCACUAAUAAUCUGGUAGCUGUCCCCAUUUCCGAAGAGAGUGAAGUAAAAAAGGCAUUAAAUACUUCACUCUUCUCUGCAUCAUCCAUAACUAGAUUUCCUUCCACAUUCCUUAAGGGACCUAUGUUUUCUGACUACCUCUUACUUUUGACAUAUUUGCAGAAUCCUCUUUUUUAUUGCCUUUUAUGUCCCUUGCCAGCUGCAUCUGAUAUCACGCCUCGGCCUUCAUAAUGUUCUCCCUGCAUGCCUGUGUGAUACUCUUAUACUUUUUCCUCGUACUAUAACCAAGCUUUCACUUUUCACUGGGUUUCUUUUUGAGUUUCAACUCAUUAAAGAGAUCACUAUCUACUGGGGUGUUCUCCUGUUGCACUUCCCAGUCUUCUGUUACAGUGAGAUAGCUUGCUCCUGUGCCCAAAAGGGUCUCCUUAAAGUAGAGCCAGGUCUCUUGGACUCCUUUUCCCUUCAGACUUGUCUUCCAGGGAGUCCUCCCCAUCAGUUCCCUGAGAUCUGUUAAAGUGUGCUUUUCUGAAGUCCUUGUUCUGCUGCUCUCCUUCCUUCCUCACCUUAGCACCUUAUCAUUUAGGACUCUUAGGACUCUUAUCACUUAGGACUCUUAUCAUUUCAUGGUCACUGCCACCCAAGUUACCUUCCAUCUUCACAUUCUCAAGCAAUUCCUCCCUGUUUAUGAGUAAAUCAAGAACUUCCCCCCUUGUUGACCUCAUUACUAUCCAUGUCAAAAAAUUAUCCCCAAUACACCCCAAUAAUUUUCUAGACUGCUUGUGAAGUGCUGUUUUUCUCCCAGCAGAUGUCCCAGUAAUUAAAGUUCCCUAUAAGAAUCAGGUGAUUCAGAAGGUUAAUGAAGGCCUCGUCUACCUCCUCCUCUUGGUUUGGAGACUUGUAGAAGAUGUCCACCAUAACAUCUCCCCUACUGCUCUCCUUGCUGAUCUUUAUACAGAGUCUUUCAACAGGCUUAUGUUCCACUUCCUGGUGCAGAUGGGGGCAGGAGGAAGGAGCAAGCCAGAGGGUGUUCAGCACAAUGAGGCGGGUACUAGCCUGGAAGAAUAAGAUUUCAAGCUGGGGGCCUUCCUUCCCAGUGAGAUAGAGGCAUCCUCCUGCACUGCAUUCCAUCCAUUUUUCCAGUGACUGUAUGUUAAUAGUUUAGCUUCAAAAGGGGUGCCAGAGAAGACUGAAUAAAGCUUCAACUCUGGUGGGGAGGCUGGAGUGCUAUACUGGUGAAUCAGACACACCCAGGUCCAACACCCUUUGGACCAGGGUGGCUUAGAUUGCAGGACAUUUAGCCUCCCAGGUGAGUGUCUUAGCCACUGAGCUGUUGGAGUGAAAAAGGGACACACACAGUGUGCCCCUUUAUUGGUCUUAGUUUCAAAAACAGAACCCAUGGGUUUUAGCUGGCCUGUUUGUGGGUGCUUGAGGCUGCCAUGCAUCCACAAAGGGUGCAUGCAGGUGCCCUAGCUGCCCCUGUGCAUGCCCAGUUUGUGUGACUAUGUAGCUGCAGAGUUAUCCAUGCAUGCACAGCUAUAAACCCAGGAACAGAAUGCCAACCUAUGUGCAAAUGCUAAUUUUGACAUUAGGUUGGCCAAAAAUGCCAUAUAAAUGACCAAAUCUGGAUGCUUUGCUUAACAGGAAGGGAACAAAUGCCACCUUUUGUUCUCGCUCUAGGCUAGAAUGGCAUCUUUUACAGUGUAAAUGCCUAAUGGUCAGAUCUAAUAAAGACUCCAGCCACUGUAGGGUACUGGCUAACAAAAGCCAUUUCCUCAGUGAUAACUACUGUUUAUACCUUGUUCCUUAUCUGGAACCCUUUAAGAACCAAAUUUUCAGUAGGAUGACCAGGGGUGUAUGACCUGGGCACCAGCCCCAGGCACUGAUUUUAAAAGGUUGAAAGAAGGGCAUCUGCUAGUACUGCUGCCUCCGGCCCAUCUACCACCACUGCUGCUGUCCUGGCCACUGCCACUACCCCAGCCACUACUGCCACCUAGGGUAUAGAAUCUACUUGUCACACUUCUGCAAACUUGGAAAAGGUUUAUAGUUUGCUCUCAGUGCAAGUCACUGAUAUACAGGACUGUUGCAAGAUGCAUAUAGAGAAUGCAGGGAUGAUGAUGAAUCGAAUUUUUGUUUUAAACAAUGCUUUCAUUAUGCAGUCAUUUUUCAUUAUGUUUAGUUGAUUGUUUUUAAUUAAUAUCUUAAUUAUACUAUAGGGCUAUACAAUGGAUGCAGAUGAUUUAUGUUUUUCUAGGUGAAAUAUUCAUAUCCAUAACAGGGAAGCCAACCUCUUCUCUUGUGAACGAGAUACUGUGACUUCAUAUAUGUGCCCAUGACAGCAAACAUGCAUAAAUCCAAUUGAUGAGUUAUCCCAUCAACUGACUGAGGAGAAAAAACAUUCUGGAUGGUUCAUAUUUGAGGGGUUGCAGUAUGAAAAGAAAUACUUAGUCAUACAAUUAUAUACUUCAGCGCACAGAAGAUGAGAGAAGUAGAAACUAUUCAGACUGGAAUGGCACUGCUAACAGAUGUACACUUCUACAUUUUAACACAACCUUUGGCAAGUCUGGCAUGGCACUGAGAAGAGCUGGAUUGCCUUCAGCUCAGUGAGGUAACCAUAUUUCAUCCAGAGAUCCACAGGAGCAAAGGAAUCUUUUUUUCCAAUCCAAUAUUAUGAAGUGGGGUUGGCUGGGCUGGAAGAGAAUGCAAAAGCAAUUAGUGCUAAAUGCCAGAAUUUAGAAAGCAAGACUGAGAGGUUGAGAGGAAGACAUCAGUCAUUCAUCACGCAGACUGGGUAGCAGGGCAAUAAUAAUCAGGCAGUCCUCAAAUGUGUAGGGCAAAAAGACACUGCUCCAUUGCCCCCGCCCCAAUUCUUACCUUUGCUGACUUGCAAAAAGGAAGAAGUUGAGCUAUUUGUAACUCAUACAUUAAUCCCAAAGAAUAAAGCAACAUCUUGACAAAUGCAA